GAUGAACGCUGGCGGCGUGCUUAACACAUGCAAGUCGAACGGAAAGGCUCCUGCUUGCAGGGGUACUCGAAUGGCGAACGGGUGAGUAACACGUGGGUGAUCUGCCCUGCACUUCGGGAUAAGCCUGGGAAACUGGGUCUAAUACCGGAUAGGACCACAUUUUGGAUGGUGUGGUGGAAAGUUUUUCGGUGUGGGAUGAGCUCGCGGCCUAUCAGCUUGUUGGUGGGGUAAUGGCCUACCAAGGCGUCGACGGGUAGCCGGCCUGAGAGGGUGUACGGCCACAUUGGGACUGAGAUACGGCCCAGACUCCUACGGGAGGCAGCAGUGGGGAAUAUUGCACAAUGGGCGCAAGCCUGAUGCAGCGACGCCGCGUGGGGGAUGACGGCCUUCGGGUUGUAAACUCCUUUCGCUAGGGACGAAGCGCAAGUGACGGUACCUGGAGAAGAAGCACCGGCUAACUACGUG
rnacentral:rRNA from 1 species